GGCUGGCCUCAUAUUAGCUGUAGAAC
rnacentral:piRNA from 1 species